rnacentral:rRNA from 1 species
AACACAUGCAAGUCGAACGGAUCCUUCGGGAUUAGUGGCAGACGGGUGAGUAACGCGUGGGAAGCUACCUUGUGGUAGGGAACAACAGUUGGAAACGACUGCUAAUACCCUAUGAGCCCUAUGGGGGAAAGAUUUAUCGCCAUGAGAUGUGCCCGCGUUAGAUUAGCUAAUUGGUAAGGUAAUGGCUUACCAAGGCGACGAUCUAUAGCUGGUCUGAGAGGAUGAUCAGCCACACUGGGACUGAGACACGGCCCAGACUCCUACGGGAGGCAGCAGUGGGGAAUAUUGGACAAUGGGGGCAACCCUGAUCCAGCCAUGCCGCGUGAGUGAUGACGGCCUUAGGGUUGUAAAGCUCUUUCAGCAGUGAAGAUAAUGACAUUAACUGCAGGAGAAGCCCCGGCUAACUUCGUGCCAGCAGCCGCGGUAAUACGAAGGGGGCUAGCGUUGUUCGGAAUUCAUGGGCGUAAAGCGUACGUAUGCGGACUGAUCAGUCAGGGGUGAAAUCCGGGGCUCAACCCGGAACUGCCUUUGAUACUGUCAGUCUUGAGAUCGAGAGAGGUGAGU